rnacentral:sRNA from 1 species
GCUGGGUAAGGUGGUGCACACCUGUAAUCCCAGAGGCUCAGGAGGCUGAGACAGGAGGAUUCUGAGUUCAAAGCCAGCCUCAGCAAUUUAGCGAGGUCCUAAGCAACUCAGUGAGAUCCUGUCUGUA